AGAGUUUGAUCCUGGCUCAGGAUGAACGCCGGCGGUGUGCCUAAUACAUGCAAGUCGUACGCACUGGCCCAACUGAUUGAUGGUGCUUGCACCUGAUUGACGAUGGAUCACCAGUGAGUGGCGGACGGGUGAGUAACACGUAGGUAACCUGCCCCGGAGCGGGGGAUAACAUUUGGAAACAGAUGCUAAUACCGCAUAACAACAAAAGCCACAUGGCUUUUGUUUGAAAGAUGGCUUUGGCUAUCACUCUGGGAUGGACCUGCGGUGCAUUAGCUAGUUGGUAAGGUAACGGCUUACCAAGGCGAUGAUGCAUAGCCGAGUUGAGAGACUGAUCGGCCACAAUGGAACUGAGACACGGUCCAUACUCCUACGGGAGGCAGCAGUAGGGAAUCUUCCACAAUGGGCGCAAGCCUGAUGGAGCAACACCGCGUGAGUGAAGAAGGGUUUCGGCUCGUAAAGCUCUGUUGUUGGAGAAGAACGUGCGUGAGAGUAACUGUUCACGCAGUGACGGUAUCCAACCAGAAAGUCACGGCUAACCACGUGCCAGCAGCCGCGGUAAUACGUAGGUGGCAAGCGUUAUCCGGAUUUAUUGGGCGUAAAGCGAGCGCGGGCGGUUGCUUAGGUCUGAUGUGAAAGCCUUCGGCUUAACCGAAGAAGUGCAUCGGAAACCGGGCGACUUGAGUGCAGAAGAGGACAGUGGAACUCCAUGUGUAGCGGUGGAAUGCGUAGAUAUAUGGAAGAACACCAGUGGCGAAGGCGGCUGUCUGGUCUGCAACUGACGCUGAGGCUCGAAAGCAUGGGUAGCGAACAGGAUUAGAUACCCUGGUAGUCCAUGCCGUAAACGAUGAGUGCUAGGUGUUGGAGGGUUUCCGCCCUUCAGUGCCGGAGCU
rnacentral:rRNA from 1 species